GACGAACGCUGGCGGCGUGCUUAACACAUGCAAGUCGAACGGAAAGGCCCUGCUUGCAGGGUACUCGAGUGGCGAACGGGUGAGUAACACGUGGGUGAUCUGCCCUGCACUUCGGGAUAAGCCUGGGAAACUGGGUCUAAUACCGGAUAGGAGGCAUUUUUAGUGUGAUGGUUGGAAAGUUUUUUCGGUGUAGGAUGAGCUCGCGGCCUAUCAGCUUGUUGGUGGGGUAAUGGCCUACCAAGGCGGCGACGGGUAGCCGGCCUGAGAGGGUGGACGGCCACAUUGGGACUGAGAUACGGCCCAGACUCCUACGGGAGGCAGCAGUGGGGAAUAUUGCACAAUGGGCGCAAGCCUGAUGCAGCGACGCCGCGUGGGGGAUGACGGCCUUCGGGUUGUAAACUCCUUUCGCUAGGGACGAAGCUUUUUGUGACGGUACCUAGAUAAGAAGCACCGGCUAACUACGUG
rnacentral:rRNA from 1 species